GACGAACGCUGGCGGCGUGCCUAAUACAUGCAAGUAGAACGCUGAAGAGAGGAGCUUGCUCUUCUUGGAUGAGUUGCGAACGGGUGAGUAACGCGUAGGUAACCUGCCUUGUAGCGGGGGAUAACUAUUGGAAACGAUAGCUAAUACCGCAUAACAAUGGAUGACACAUGUCAUUUAUUUGAAAGGGGCAAUUGCUCCACUACAAGAUGGACCUGCGUUGUAUUAGCUAGUAGGUGAGGUAAUGGCUCACCUAGGCGACGAUACAUAGCCGACCUGAGAGGGUGAUCGGCCACACUGGGACUGAGACACGGCCCAGACGCCUACGGGAGGCAGCAGUAGGGAAUCUUCGGCAAUGGGGGCAACCCUGACCGAGCAACGCCGCGUGAGUGAAGAAGGGUUUCGGAUCGUAAAGCUCUGUUGUAAGUCAAGAACGGGUGUGAGAGUGGAAAGUUCACACUGUGACGGUAGCUUACCAGAAAGGGACGGCUAACUACGUG
rnacentral:rRNA from 1 species